AGCUUUGCGCAGUGGCAGUAUCGUAGCCAAUGAGGUUUAUCCGAGGCGCAAUUAUUGCUAAUUGAAAACUCUGUCUGAUCUAAGGAGGAAAUCUGAAGUGCAAUAAGUGAGGAAUUUGGGGAGGCCAGGGAGAUGG
ensembl:snRNA U4 U4 spliceosomal RNA